rnacentral:rRNA from 1 species
AACAAACGCUGGCGGUAUGCCUAACACAUGCAAGUCGAACGAGAAAAUCCUUCGGGAUGAGUAGAGUGGCGCACGGGUGAGUAACGCGUAGAUCACCUAUCUUCAAGCUUGGGAUAACCACCCGAAAGGGGGGCUAAUACCAAAUAAAACACAGAGGUUGAUGCCUUUGUGUUGAAAACUCCGGUGCUUGGAGCUGGGUCUGCGUACCAUUAGCUAGAUGGUGAGGUAAAAGCUCACCAUGGCGACGAUGGUUAACGGGUCUGAGAGGAUGAACCGUCACACUGGAACUGAGACACGGUCCAG